rnacentral:lncRNA from 1 species
CAAUUUAGCAGUUCGGAACAGUCAGGGCCCUUCUGAAUGUCCGUUUGUGCUCAAACUUGACAGUCAGGCUUGGUUUAACUUACUGAGAAGAAAUAUAUCUUAACUUUUCAGUUUCAACCAUUUUUGGUCACCCAAAGCUCUACCGAACUGUAAUCUUUAGCAGAUAGCAGUUCGAUUUUAUUCUCCACCUUCCGGGUGUCAGAAUGAUAUGAAACUUUAAAUCUGGCCUCAUAAAAAUAAUUCUGACAUACUCUCCAGUUUUCAUAAUUUUCCGACACUGUGCAUUUUCUGCUAAUUUAUCAGCCCCGCUUUUCACAGAAAAUUCUAAAUCUUUUGUUUUCGCUCCGAUUUCAGUAUAGGUCAUUUCCAACUUAUACCUUACACCCUUAAGUCCAAUAAAAAUAGUAUCUCACACUAUUUUUAUUUACACUUAAUUUUAUAUUAAAUUUCGGUAUACUACAUCCCACCGUAACUUCAUAAUUUCAGAAGUUCGAUACCUUACACAUCAUUUAUCAAAAACCCCCAUUUGGCUAGGGUUCACAUCUUGCAAUUUGCACUAUAGAACUCUAACUUCUAGCUCUAUUCCACCAUUAAUGGUGCUAGCGGUCCAUUUGACCUCAUCUCACAAGCCAAAAACCCAAAAUCCCUAAGUUCUAUCAUUAGGGUUCAAGAGCUUACCUCUAGGUUAGCUCCAAUGGAGAGGAGAGGAAGAGGAAGAUGCUCCAAGCCUUCUCUAGCUUGCUCUCUUCCUUCUUCUUCUUCUCUUUUCUUUCUUCUCUUCCUUGAGAGAGAGAGGAAGAGCUGAGGGAGAGAGAGAUGAGAGUGAGGGGUGUUAGGGAGUAGAUGAGAGAAAGAGAGGGAGUUUUUUUCUCUAAUACCCUCCAUCUAUUGUAACAAAUGCAGCUAAGCCCCUCAACUUCGCUCCUCUCAAGUUACUCUGCCUGGGUAGAUUUCGCACAGAGGGACCGGUCCUCCCGAUGAAGGACCGGUCCCUGAGGACCUUCCAAAAUUCGCGCAUACGGGAACCGGUCCCUGCCCGAGAGACCGGUCCCUGGGAGACUGGUCCUCCCGAUGAGGGACCGGUCCCCGAGAGCCUUUUGGUUGGUUGCGCUUACGGGAACCGGUCCCUCUGGCCAGGGGACCGGUUGCAUCGGCUGUCUUCCGCAACGUCAGCUACAGGGGCCGGUCUUUCCCUGCCAGGGACCAGUCCACGAGAGCAAAAUCUGCCAAAUGCAUAUUUUUGCAUCUUUUGCUCUCGCGGACUUGACUCCAAAGCACUUUUUGUGUUUUGGACAUCUCUAGCUUCUCCGAAGCCUACUCGCUCGACAAUUAGUCGAUCUUGGACGAAGUAUAACUCUCGGAUUUCGAGAAUUCACUUUCUUACACUCGAACCUUACAAUUU